UACGUAGGGGGCAAGCGUUGUCCGGAUUUAUUGGGCGUAAAGAGCGUGUAGGCGGCCAGAUAGGUCGGUUGUGAAAACUGGAGGCUCAACCUCCAGACGUCGACCGAAACCAUCUGGCUAGAGUCCGGAAGAGGAGAGUGGAAUUCCUGGUGUAGCGGUGAAAUGCGCAGAUAUCAGGAAGAAAACCAGUGGAGAAGGCGGCUCUCUGAGACGGUACUGACGCUGAGACGCGAAAGCGUGGGGAGCGAACAGG
rnacentral:rRNA from 1 species